rnacentral:rRNA from 1 species
ACGAAGGGGGCUAGCGUUGUUCGGAAUCACUGGGCGUAAAGGGCGCGUAGGCGGCUAUGUAAGUCGGGGGUGAAAGCCUGUGGCUCAACCACAGAAUUGCCUUCGAUACUGCAUGGCUUGAGACCGGAAGAGGUCAGCGGAACUGCGAGUGUAGAGGUGAAAUUCGUAGAUAUCCGCAAGAACACCAGUGGCGAAGGCGGCUCACUGGCCCGGUACUGACGCUGAGGUGCGAAAGCGUGGGGAGCAAACAGGA